UAGCUCUUUCAUGAUUCGGUGGUUGGUGGUGCAUGGCCGUUCUUAGUUCGUGGAUCGAUUUGUCUGGUUUAUUCCGAUAACGAGCGAGACUCUAGCCUACUAAAUAGUAACGGGAUUAUCAUUGUCCCGGUUGCUUCUUAGAGGGAUUUUCGGUGUUUAGCCGCACGAGAUUGAGCAAUAACAGGUCUGUGAUGCCCUUAGAUGUCCGGGGCUGCACGCGCGCUACACUGGCGAAAUCAGCGUGCUGUAUCCAUUCUCGAAAGGGAUUGGUAAACCCAUGAAAAUUUGCCGUGCUUGGGAUCGGAAAUUGCAAUUAUUUUCCGUGAACGAGGAAUUCCAAGUAAGUGCGAGUCAUCAACUCGCUCU
rnacentral:rRNA from 1 species